UAGAAACCCUAAUCUGAUUGCUAGGGUUUUUAAGUGCCUAUAUAUACUCUCUUAAACCUCUUGGCCGAAUAUAUCACCUCCCAUAUUCAUUCUACACGCCAAAACCCUAGUUCUAGUUCUUGCCGCAGCCUUCCAUCCCCAAACUCCCAACUUUCUGCCCAAAUUCAACCUUGCCGCAACCUUCCAUUCAAAUAACCAUUCAUCCACCAUAGCCGCGCCUUCCCACCACCAUCACCACCUUGUGCAGCCACUAAAGGAGGAGAAAGAAGGAGUGCCGUGCAGUCCAAAGGAAGG
rnacentral:lncRNA from 1 species